CAAUCCUGGUCGAAAAUAUUGGCGCACUUGACACUGACUGUGCGAAAUUUGACUCCCACUUCAAUAACAAGCAUAGCAACCCCCCUUUCCCCCGUUCAAUGUUGUCUGUAGUGUGUUAUACGUCCAAGGUGUUACACAACAUUGAUAAGGGGGAUAGGGGGUGUUUGGACAUGAAAUUUUGCAUAAAAUUGGCAAGUAUUUAUAUGGUAAUCAGAAAUGAAGUAAAGGUUAUGCUAUUUCGCCAAGGAUUUUUGACCAG